GCGUAACGCGUAAGUAACUUGCCCAAGGUAACGAAUAACGUCGAGAACUCGGCGCUAAUACCUCAUAAUGCAGCGGAUCCGCAUGGAUAUGUUGUAAGUUUACGCCUUGGGAUAGGCUUGCGUCUGAUUAGCUAGUUGGUGUGGUAACGGCACACCAAGGCUACGAUCAGUAACUGGUCUGAGAGGAUGAUCAGUCACACUGGAACUGAGACACGGUCCAGACUCCUACGGGAGGCAGCAGUGAGGAAUAUUGGGCAAUGCUCGAAAGAGUGACCCAGCAACGCCGCGUGGAGGAUGAAGGUAUUCUAUAUCGUAAACUCCUGUGAGAGCAGACGAAAGACAGAUUAUUAAUCUGGAUGACUGUAUGCUCAGAGGAAGCCCCGGCUAACUACGUG
rnacentral:rRNA from 1 species